rnacentral:rRNA from 1 species
UACGAAGGGAGCUAGCGUUGUUCGGAAUCACUGGGCGUAAAGCGCACGUAGGCGGAUGUGUCAGUCAGGGGGUGAAAUCCCGGAGCUCAACUUCGGAACUGCCUCUGAUACAGCACGUCUUGAGUCCGAUAGAGGUGGGUGGAAUUCCUAGUGUAGAGGUGAAAUUCGUAGAUAUUAGGAAGAACACCGGUGGCGAAGGCGGCCCACUGGAUCGGUACUGACGCUGAGGUGCGAAAGCGUGGGGAGCAAACAGG